AACUAAGGGUGUUCACAUUUUCUUUGUCAAUAUAAAAAAUUUAUUAGGUUAUGGACCACGCAGAGUUGAAUUUUUUUCACGCAAUAUUAAAUGGAUUUACUAAAUACCUAUUGAUAAAAUUGUUGAAUGUAUUUUGAGGCUAGACAAGAAAAAGUAGAAACAGUAAAUCACAAUGAGUUAAAACUAACAAUUGAUAAGCUAGAAGGUCCGGCUCAAAAUGGAAAUGGCACAUCGACAUGAUAUUUCGUGAGCAUAACCUUGAAUGGUGAAUCGAAAUGUCCUAUACUUUCAGAAACAGGUAAAACUCGAACAAAAAAAAAGAACUGCAAGAAUGGAUGCAGAAUAAUGUAAAAGCAGCAGAUAUCAUCGCAAGGACACUGAACAAAACAACACCAGAAUUAGUGUUAAUUUGUACUCAGGGUAUGGGUACUUCGACUACAAUGACCAAUGACCCCUAAUAGAUGUGUCUAAAAGGAGUCAUUGUAAGAUGCUUUAGAAGCUAACGUGUUAGUAGUAAUUGAUAGUACGAAAAUUGUCAUUUCGCAAAAUUGUCAGUAGAUCGCGCUUACAGAAAUUAUUUUGAUUCGGUGCGGAAAGAAAAACAGAAUCAAUCAUUGUAAGCAUUCCCUAUAUCUGCAGUUAGUCGUUUGAGAGUUACAAGCAUUUUUUUGAACGAUAUGGUAUAAUCCACCAAUGUCUUGGUGGUCUAAGUAUGCCAUUAAUAUUUGCAACACCCUGUAUAUUUCUGAGAAAUUUAUUUUUAUUACUGCAACACACCGGAAAUCUCGGAAUCCUGUACCAAUAUAUAAGCUGUUACAGUCAAUGUUUGUGCAAAAUAAUAAAUUCUAACUGUCAACCUUUUCUCCGCAUAAAUGUUCAAAAAGUUCUUAUAUCUAGUUUUUAAAGAAGUCUGAUUUUAUCAAAGAAUUGAAAUAUGUAAUAAUAUGAAGGGUGUUCCACUGAAAAUAAGAAAGUUGGGUAUUUGCCAGCAAAAACUGAACAUUCUGUAGACUCACAGAUAAUUUUAGAAAUGCACAAUAAAAAUUAAGACGACUUUUAUGCGAAAUAUUUGUACCUAAAAGUAUGAAUAACGCCGCUAUAGAGGGGUCUUAAGUGGGACGUGAAUCAAUAGAAAUGCACCUGUGAUUAUCAAAUCUGGUCCGAAAAUAUUUACUCAAGGUCAAGCAAUUUAGUUGUAUAAACAGACCUGCAAAAGAUACUGUAAAAUUGCUGUAUGUAGAAAGUAUAAACAAUAUAUAAUAUAGCUGAUAAUCUUUUGUAAUAUAUGUAUACGUUUUUGUAUGUUAUAUACAUAAUAUAUUUAUAACAUUUACCGACGGUGUUGAAGUAAGAACGCAUGUUAUACAUAGUAAUUUGAAUUUCAUAAAACUAACUGCCUUCGUCCCUACAUUCGUCGUUAUAUCUAAUAACCUUCCACCUUCACGUGUUUUUCUCUUGAAAAAUAGCCCAUUUUCUGGUUAAAUACAAACUACUUAAUAUGGUUUUCCUAUGAGAGGGGUCGACAAGCUGCGGCUCAUUCUAGAGACAAUUGCGCCUCUUCAAGUCCCCAACAAAAAAAUAAAAGUUAUGCAAUGCACAUGUGAGGCCCUUUUAUUUAAUUACCACAUUGUCCGAUAUAAAUUUGAAAAAAACUAAAAGCCGAAUUAAAAAUUCGUGGCUUUUUGAAAUUUAUUAAACAAUAUUUUUUAUUGAGAAUGCUGUUUUCAGCUUAAAAGUUUGCUGACCUCUGACUUAUAAGAAUUGUUAGCGAACAAAACUUUUUAUCGCAAACAACUAAUAUGUUCGCAUUUUUCUUUUGGUACGGGAUGAAAGGGAGAGAGCAACCGACCCAUUAUGUCCCAAUGUCCGUGUGUCCUUGCGUACCGCUCAAUCUUAACGCACUGCAUUAUUAUAUAACUUUGCUUUAUUUACUACAGUACGUGCAGAAAGUUGACUCUACGAACAUAUUAUUAAUAAUGAGAAAAUUAUAGUUUCCAAUGCUGCUCAAGUUUUUUGUAGUACAUGGUAUUCAACAGAAGUUUGAAGGAAACAAGUACAGUGAAACAUUGGUAGCACUUUCAUGGUACGUUACCUUUGGAAAUACUACAGGAGAUAGAAAACCCUUGGAAUAUCAUCCCAUCCAAUACAACAGUAUCCUGCAAAGGUCUUUACUUUUGCUGAUGUGUCUAGAUAAACUAACGUUGCAGUAAAUCAUCAAGUAGAAUGGCUUAUUGAUUUUUCUGUAACGAUUCUUCCAUCAUCUGCCUUAAAGAUUCAGUAGGUGGGUAGAUGGAUCGAGCAGCUUAGUAGUGGUGCUGUAGUGGUUUUAACCAUGAAGAAAGGAGGACACAAAAUUUCCUGUAACACUAUUAGCUCUCUACCAUUCUCAUUUAUCAAUUAUCUACAUUCUACAUUCUUCUCUAGCAUUAUCUUUUACGCUCUCAUAAAAAGUGUUUUAACGUCUGCAUUCUGCAUUUUGUUUCCUCUUUUUUCAUCCAAUAUUUACUUUCACUACAUACGUUCCCCGUUAUAAAUCUCACUAUCCUUUCCUUCCCCAAAUAUUCCGGUUGUAAAUCCCCUUGUCACUCUUCUCAUAGAAAUCUCUUCAGCCCUUUCGCGUAUUUCGAAUUUAGUAUACGUUUUAAGUGUUCCCAUCUUGUUAUUUCGUAUCUCCUUUUGUUCACCACAUUCCCCUUUACUUUUUAAGCCUUUCCCUCUUGUUUCGCAGCUUCUUUUUUACCGCAUUCUCCUAUACUUUUUAAGUGUCCCCUCCUGUUAUUUAGUAGUUCCUUUUCUUUACUACAUUCCCCCAUACUUUUUAAGUCUUCCCUUACUGUUAUUUCGUAGUUCCUUUUGUUUAGCGCAUUCCGCUAUACUUUUUAAGCGUCCCCCUCUCGUUAUUUAGUACUUCCUUUUGUUUACCACAUUCCCUAUACUUUUUUAGUGUCCUACAGUUCUUUUGUAGUUCCUUCUAUAUACAACAUUCCGCUGUACUUUUUAAGGCUUCUGCUUUUGUUAUUUCGCAUCUCCUUUUAUUUAUCACUUUCCCGUACACUAUUUUGAACCUUCCUCUAUUGUUUUUUCAUAUCUUCUUUUAUUUAUCCCAUUCUCCUACACGUUUUGAACCUUCCCCCAUUCGUUAUUUCGUACCUCCUACUGUUUACUACAUUACCCUAAGCUUUCUAAGUCUUCGCCUCCUUAUUUCGUAGCUUCUUUUGUUUACCACAUUCCCCUUAAAUUUUUUAGCGUUUCUUUGUUUCGUAUACCCUUUUGUUUACCAAAUUUUCCUAAACUUUUAAAAAUCUUCCCCUCCUGUUAUUUUGCACCUCCUUUUGUUUACUAUAGUCCUCCAAACAUUUUAGUCUUCCCCUCCUUAUUUCGAAUCCCCUUUUGUUUACAACACUCACCAAACAACAUCUGAACAACGCAGCUCCCAAUGAAACGAGUAAAACGUGUCGGCCCACGCGUUAAGAGUCCCUAGAAGCUAUCCUUACAGUAAAUCAGUUCGAGCUCCAGACAUUAACGGAACGAAUUGAGACUGCUCAAACUCAAGAUCCCGAAACGCAAGCCGCUGUGGACCAUUGGAGCCGUGUCCAAUGUGCUGGAGCGCAGAAUCUCGGCCAGGCAAGAUUCCUCGCACUUUAUACGGUGGAAAACAAUCUCCUGUAUAAGAAGAUCGGGCAGAGAUGACUCCUAUUCGUGCCUGCCAAUUUACGGGGACACGUCAUGUACCAUUACCCCGAUGCAAUAGACGCCAGACACCCUGGACGGGACGAGACCUUCUUGAAGAUAAGGGAAUAAUUAUAUUGGCCUUAUUUAGGGAAGGAUGUUCGACAAUAUGUUCAAAUUUGCCGUCUCUGCGCCUGCGCAAAGACGAGGCGCCAACAAGCCGCACAAUAGCGCCCCCGUAUACCCCGGAAUGUGUGGGAAGCUAUCUCCAUCGACACCAUGUAGACAGGAUGAAAAGUACUUACGUUUGAAAUGAAUAACUGUUUGGAGACAAUUUGUGUUUUUCAAAAUGGACAACAUAUUGCUUCCCAAUUGACUAAAAACGUCACUACAAAAGAAUCGCCCUUGUGUCGGUUGACUGAACAUUUGUUUUUAAAUAUUGCUAUUAAUAUUAAGAUAUUUUAAGUU